rnacentral:tRNA from 1 species
GGAGGUAUAGCUCAGUGGUAGAGUGCCUGCUUAGUAUGCACAAGGUCCUGGGUUCAAUUCCCAGGAUCUCCA